GACGAACGCUGGCGGCGUGCCUAAUACAUGCAAGUCGAACGCAGUGGGGACGGGUGAGUAACACGUGGGUAACCUCCCAUCAGAGGGGAUAAAACUUGGAAACUGGUGCUAAACCGAUACUGAUGGAUGAACCCGCGGUGCAUUAGCUAGAUGGUGAGGGAAAGGCUCACCAAGGCCACGAUGCAUAGCCGACCUGAGAGGGUGAUCGGCCCCCCUGGGACUGCGACACGGCCCAGACUCCUACGGGAGGCAGCAGUAGGGAAUCUUCGGCAAUGGACGAAAGUCUGACCGAGCAACGCCGCGUGAGUGAAGAAGUUUUUCGGAUCGUAAACCUCUGUUGUUAGAGAAGCGGUAUCUAACCAGAAAGCCACGGCUAACUACGUGCCAGCAGCCGCGGUAAUUC
rnacentral:rRNA from 1 species